UAUUGGACAAUGGGCGCAAGCCUGAUCCAGCAAUACCGCGUGUGUGAAGAAGGCCUUAGGGUCGUAAAGCACUUUCAAUUGGGAGGAAAACCUGCCGGUCAAUACCCGGUAGCUUGACAUUACCUUUAGAAGAAGCACCGGCUAACUCCGUGCCAGCAGCCGCGGUAAUACGGAGGGUGCGAGCGUUAAUCGGAAUUACUGGGCGUAAAGCGUGCGUAGGCGGUUCGUUAAGUCAGAUGUGAAAGCCCUGGGCUCAACCUGGGAACUGCAUUUGAAACUGGCGGACUAGAGUUUAGUAGAGGGGAGUGGAAUUUCAGGUGUAGCGGUGAAAUGCGUAGAUAUCUGAAGGAACACCAGUGGCGAAGGCGACUCCCUGGACUAGAACUGACGCUGAGUACGAAA
rnacentral:rRNA from 1 species